AGAUUGAACGUCUGGUCGGCAUGCCUAACACAUGGCAAGUCGGAGCGGCAGCGCGGGGGCGACCCUGGCGGCGAGACGGCGGACGGGUGAGUAAGGCAUCGGAAAUCUGCCCUGAUGUGGGGGAUAACGUAGGGAAACUUUACGCUAAUACCGCGAUAACGACCGGAGAGGUGAAAGCGGGGGACCGAAAGGCCUCGCGCAGCAGGAUGAGCCGAUGUCCGAGUUAGCUGGUUGGUGGGGUAACGGCCCACCAAGGCGACGAUCGGUAGCUGGU
rnacentral:rRNA from 1 species